UACGUAGGGUGCAAGCGUUGUCCGGAAUUACUGGGCGUAAAGCGUGCGCAGGCGGCUUUGCAAGUCAGAUGUGAAAUCCCCGGGCUUAACCUGGGAACUGCAUUUGUGACUGCAUGGCUAGAGUGCGGCAGAGGGGGAUGGAAUUCCGCGUGUAGCAGUGAAAUGCGUAGAUAUGCGGAGGAACACCGAUGGCGAAGGCAAUCCCCUGGGCCUGCACUGACGCUCAUGCACGAAAGCGUGGGGAGCAAACAGG
rnacentral:rRNA from 1 species